rnacentral:misc_RNA from 1 species
UCGAAGUAACCGCGCAUAACCUCAAAAUUUUACCGCGCUUUUUCACGCGACGGUUGAUCACUGACAUUUGCUCAGAUAAAUUCGACAUCUUGCGAUCGUUUUCGGAAGUUUUCAGGAACCGUAUGCCACUUAAACAGAGAUAUUCUUAUUUUCUCUGAUCAACUGACUUUAAGCUUGACAGGAGCUGUUCGCGUGUUCAAGAAGGUCCCAUGUGCUCUUGGCCUGCUUUUGGUAACCCUUCUUGUUCCUUUUGCCGGGUCUGCGCAAACUGGAAAACCAUCCUGCGGCUAUGGCGACGGCGCUAACGUCCCGACGGUUGUCCGUCUGCACGUUGCUACCGCGAACUUCGUCGAGGGCGUCCACCGACCUGCCGGUGAAAAUCAUGCUUGGCACCGAGUUCGCGUUGCCAAACUUCACAAACCAAUGGAAUUCGUUCCACUCAGCUCCCUUCACUUCUCCUGAACCGUGAUACUUUCAGGAACAACCUAACCACACUUUCUGACACCAUGCGCUGCAUGCGACACUGUAGCCGUUCGAUCUCGAGGGUGACAUUGACAUACGCUUCUAUCGUUAACCGAUCGUUAACGCGAUCAAAAACGAUCGCUCGCGUUACGAGUACUCGAGUAAACGUGAUCCUUUGUCGAAAGAAACUGUCGACACGCGAGAUCAAAGAUCUCAACGGUUCAACGACCCUGAAUCAGUAAUGCAAUUCCUUCAAAAUUAGUAUCUUUCGAUCGAUCCACGAUCCACGUAUUGACCACUACACGUGAUAAUCUAUCAAUAAACGCAUCUAAAAUUUAGAAACACGUCUCGGAAUUACUGAUCAAAUAAUGUUCACUCGUCUAUCGAUGAAAAUAUCGGUGAACGAAGUAAGAGUCUGAAGUAGGAUCUUUUACUAAACCUUAUUUAUCACUUAACAUCGAUAAACUCUGAUAAGUUGGAAUGACAAUAGUCACGCAAGAUGAUACGAGCAAUUUAAAGCUUCCGCAAGAUUUAAAAAAAAACACUGUCGUACGAUCGUUUUAUCUUCUCAAAGUCGACUCUUUCCGAUAACAACAACGAAAGCAGCGUAAUUUUGACCGGAGACCGCGAUUGUAUCGGGUUAGCUGAGAUCGUGAUACUGCGGGAUAAAGAACGAUCCGCCUCACGCAGCGGCUGCCGUGCGACUCGCGACCGCGAGUUAGAGUAAACGGUCGCGCUGGAA